rnacentral:rRNA from 1 species
UACGUAGGGUGCAAGCGUUAAUCGGAAUUACUGGGCGUAAAGCGUGCGCAGGCGGUUUUGUAAGUCUGUCGUGAAAUCCCCGGGCUCAACCUAGGAAUUGCGAUGGAGACUGCAAGGCUAGAAAUCUGGCAGAGGGGGGGUAGAAUUCCACGUGUAGCAGUGAAAUGCGUAGAUAUCUGGAGGAACACCGGGUGGCGAAGGCGGCAUCCUGGACCGGCAUUGACGCUGAGGCGCGAAAGCUAGGGGAGCAAACAGGG